rnacentral:rRNA from 1 species
AUUGAACGCUGGCGGCAUGCCUUACACAUGCAAGUCGAACGGUAACAGGUCUUCGGAUGCUGACGAGUGGCGAACGGGUGAGUAAUACAUCGGAACGUGCCCGAUCGUGGGGGAUAACGAAGCGAAAGCUUUGCUAAUACCGCAUACGAUCUACGGAUGAAAGCAGGGGACCGCAAGGCCUUGCGCGAACGGAGCGGCCGAUGGCAGAUUAGGUAGUUGGUGGGAUAAAAGCUUACCAAGCCGACGAUCUGUAGCUGGUCUGAGAGGACGACCAGCCAAAAUGGGACUGGGACACGGCCCAGACUCCUACGGGAGGCAGCAGUGGGGAAUUUUGGACAAUGGGCGAAAGCCUGAUCCAGACAUGCCGCGUGCAGGAUGAAGGCCUUCGGGUUGUAAACUGCUUUUGUACGGAACGAAAAGACUCUGGUUAAUACCUGGGGUCCAUGACGGUACCGUAAGAAUAAGCACCGGCUAACUACGUGCCAGCAGCCGCCGUAAGAC